rnacentral:lncRNA from 1 species
GGGUUUUGAAUGUUUUAAAAAAAUAGAUGUUAUUAUAAUAUGGUAGCUAAUCAGACAUGUUUAAGGUGAUUUGGGUGUAUUGGUGUUUUUAAGUGUCUUCAUUUUAGAACAAUCUAAGAAAUAUUUGUGACUUGUUUACUAAUAAUAACUCAUAGUAACAAUUUAACUAACGCCGCUCUAAUAAUAUUUUAGUUGUGAAGAUCGAAACAAGUUGACUCGUCAAUAAAUUUAAUAUUUACCCAUAAUCUAAUGAUAUAGUGCUUUAGUGUUUGCCCCAUAAAAUAUGAGGGUUUAAAUUCUUGCAGUGUAAAUAGUGAUAUUUAAGUUUAAAAAUUUGUAGUUAAAAAGUUUAAUAUUUAUAUUUAAAAUAUCAUAAAUAUAUAAAUUUAAAUAUGAUCUAAAAAGUUAUUACUAAAUAGUGAUCUAACUUAUCUAAUUACAACUAGUCAAUGUGUUUGGUAGGUAUUAAUUUGGUUUAUUACAGUAUCGGUAUGGUAUCGACAAAACACUAAAUCAACUGAAUGAGAAACAAUUAUCACAAUAAUUUAGGAAAAAUUUUAAUCUUUUAAAAACAAUAUUUAAUUAGAUAAUAAAAGGAAUUAUUUUAGUUUUAACACUUUUUCAGUUGUGAGUUUAAUUCCCAAUAAAUCUCACAUAAUGAAAUAAUAAUUAAAUUGUGAGUUUGGCAUGGCAUGACAUGGCAAAGAAAAACUUAAAAUUGAACCAUCAAACAUUCAUACUUGUACUCAAGUUAAAGCAUUUUAACGUUGUUAUAUUCCAUAGUGUAGAUUGCAAUUUGCAACUACAAAUAUAACAAUUCGAUGUAAUCAAUCACACAUUUUUUUUUUUAUAAAUUUUCAAUUCAAUAUUAUACGGUACAAAACACACAACGA